rnacentral:rRNA from 2 species
ACCUGCUAGAUGACGCUGGCGGCGUGCCUAAUACAUGCAAGUCGAACGAGUUCUCGUUGAUGAUCGGUGCUUGCACCGAGAUUCAACAUGGAACGAGUGGCGGACGGGUGAGUAACACGUGGGUAACCUGCCCUUAAGUGGGGGAUAACAUUUGGAAACAGAUGCUAAUACCGCAUAGAUCCAAGAACCGCAUGGUUCUUGGCUGAAAGAUGGCGUAAGCUAUCGCUUUUGGAUGGACCCGCGGCGUAUUAGCUAGUUGGUGAGGUAAUGGCUCACCAAGGCGAUGAUACGUAGCCGAACUGAGAGGUUGAUCGGCCACAUUGGGACUGAGACACGGCCCAAACUCCUACGGGAGGCAGCAGUAGGGAAUCUUCCACAAUGGACGCAAGUCUGAUGGAGCAACGCCGCGUGAGUGAAGAAGGCUUUCGGGUCGUAAAACUCUGUUGUUGGAGAAGAAUGGUCGGCAGAGUAACUGUUGUCGGCGUGACGGUAUCCAACCAGAAAGCCACGGCUAACUACGUGCCAGCAGCCGCGGUAAUACGUAGGUGGCAAGCGUUAACCGGAUUUAUUGGGCGUAAAGCGAGCGCAGGCGGUUUUUUAAGUCUGAUGUGAAAGCCCUCGGCUUAACCGAGGAAGCGCAUCGGAAACUGGGAAACUUGAGUGCAGAAGAGGACAGUGGAACUCCAUGUGUAGCGGUGAAAUGCGUAGAUAUAUGGAAGAUCACCAGUGGCGAAGGCGGGCUGUCUGGUCUGUAACUGACGCUGAGGCUCGAAAGCAUGGGUAGCGAACAGGAUUAGAUACCCUGGUAGUCCAGGCCGAAAGCGAUGAAGCUGAGUGUUGGGAAGGUUG